rnacentral:rRNA from 1 species
GAUGAACGCUGGCGGCGUGCCUAAUACAUGCAAGUCGAGCGAACAGACGAGGAGCUUGCUCCUCUGACGUUAGCGGCGGACGGGUGAGUAACACGUGGAUAACCUACCUAUAAGACUGGGAUAACUUCGGGAAACCGGAGCUAAUACCGGAUAAUAUAUUGAACCGCAUGGUUCAAUAGUGAAAGACGGUUUUGCUGUCACUUAUAGAUGGAUCCGCGCCGCAUUAGCUAGUUGGUAAGGUAACGGCUUACCAAGGCGACGAUGCGUAGCCGACCUGAGAGGGUGAUCGGCCACACUGGAACUGAGACACGGUCCAGACUCCUACGGGAGGCAGCAGUCGGGAAUCUUCCGCAAUGGGCGAAAGCCUGACGGAGCAACGCCGCGUGAGUGAUGAAGGUCUUCGGAUCGUAAAACUCUGUUACUAGGGAAGAACAAAUGUGUAAGUAACUAUGCACGUCUUGACGGUACCUAAUCAGAAAGCCACGGCUAACUACGCG